ACACCAUGGGCAGGGCUGGAAUUACUGGAGGUGUCUGCCUUUGUGAGGAACUCUUGAGCAAAUGAGCCUUCUGCAGACUGUGGAGAUGGAUGUCAAAGGAACAAGAUCUGUAACUUGGAGGUGCAAUGACUGAGAGGAUGAAGGAAGUGCUCCAGAUGGGGGACCCAUAAGAGCUGUGGGAACAGAGGAGACAUCACCCCAUCCCUGUGCACAGAGCUCCAGCUCACAGCUCCACUGGCCCUGUGCAGCCCAGCUGUGUGUACUGCAUCGUGAGCAGUCAGGUUGCAUCUGACUGACUGCUUCCAGUGCUCCUGAGAAGAUCUGAUAGCAGAAGCUCAGCAGGCUGAGGUCAACUGCUGGUAGCCAGGAGACAGGUAAGAGUUUCACCUCUCAU
rnacentral:lncRNA from 1 species